AUCCCAGAUAAACUACUUAUGUGUUUAUUUGAUUCAUGGGAGGCAGAUAUCAAUUAUGGGAGUUCGCUGAUGGCGCCUUUUUUUCCUAGAAGGUGCUUUAAUAGUACCUCACCUUACAUUC
rfam:Vitis vinifera, whole genome shotgun sequence of line PN40024, unoriented chromosome 14, chr14